rnacentral:rRNA from 1 species
CCUACGGGAGGCAGCAGUAGGGAAUUUUGCGCAAUGGGGGAAACCCUGAUGCAGCAACACCGCGUGAAUGUUAAGCCCUUCGGGGUGUAAAGGUCUUUUAAUAGGGGCGAAAUUUGACUGUACCUAUAAAAGAAGCACCGGCUAACUCCGUGCCAGCAGCCGCGGUAAUACGUGGGGUGCAAGCGUUGUCCGGAUUCAUUGGGCGUAAAGCGUUCGUAGGCGGUAUGUCAAGUCUGAUGUUAAAGCCCGGGGCUCAACUCUGGGUCGGCAUUGGAUACUGGCAAGCUAGAGUGUGGUAGAGGUAAGGGGAAUUCCUGGUGUAGCGGUGAAAUGCGUAGAUAUCAGGAGGAACAUCGGUGGCGAAAGCGCUUUACUGGACCAUUAUUGACGCUGAGGAACGAAAGCCAGGGGAGCAAAUGGGAUUAGAUACCCGGGUAGUC